GAUGAACGCUAGCGGCAGGCCUAACACAUGCAAGUCGAGGGGUAGCAGGAUUAAGCUUGCUUAAUUGCUGACGACCGGCGCACGGGUGCGUAACGCGUAUGCAACCUACCUUAUACUGGGGUAUAGCCCGGAGAAAUUCGGAUUAAUCCCCCAUAGUACUAAUGAAUCGCAUGGUUUAUUAGUUAAAGCAUUGCGGUAUAAGAUGGGCAUGCGUCCUAUUAGCUAGAUGGUGAGGUAACGGCUCACCAUGGCUACGAUAGGUAGAGGGCCUGAGAGGGUGGUCCCCCACACUGGUACUGAGACACGGACCAGACUCCUACGGGAGGCAGCAGUGAGGAAUAUUGGUCUAUGGGCGCAAGCCUGAACCAGCCAUGCCGCGUGCAGGAAGAAUGCCCUAUGGGUUGUAAACUGCUUUUAUUUGGGAAUAAACCUCUUUACGUGUAGAGAGCUGAAGGUACCAAAUGAAUAAGCACCGGCUAACUCCGUGCCAGCAGCCGCCGUAA
rnacentral:rRNA from 1 species